CGGUUGCGUGAACACAAGCAGACUUUCCAGUGGUUUUAACAUUCUUCAUUCAGUGACAUAACAAAAGAAUUGCAUACCCUCAGAUCAAACACUGCAAGCUGGCGAUGGAAACAUAUGUUUUAAUGAGAGGCCCAGCGUCUAGGUUCUGUUUAGACUACACACCUAGCAGUCACACAAAUGACACAAGCUGAUAUUGAAACCUUCAGAACUUCCAUAAGCUGAAACUGUCUACAUAUUACGACAAAACAAACGGCACUACGUUAAGGGUUACAAACAGAGCUGGAGAAAAGAUCGCUAUCUCAACAUGACUCAUCUCGUUAUUCUGGUAGUCAUGUUAAUCUCGGCUGUGUCCGUGGAAGGCAAUCCCACAUGUUCUAGCUGUCUGGUUGAAGGCACAAUGUAGGGAAUCAGGUUACUCGGAGACCUCCAACACCGCGGGAGGCAGACUGACGUGCGGGUGUAACGGGAAACUUUGGGAGUGUACUGUAGUGCCUAACCCAGUAUUUUACGGCGAUCCUUCAGGAUGUGCAGGAUGUAUGGUUGCUAACGAAUGUAAGCCAGUUGGCUACCAGAAACACAGACAGCUGGAGCACGGGAGGGAGAAGUGCACGUGUACCGGGAUCGUGGCAUGGUCGUGUACAGCUGUGGGUAUUCCACUCUUUAUAACCAGGAAACCCACCAUAGCGCCAACCACAGAAAUAGCGCCUUAGUUCGACAAAAGUGAUAUAUAGAUAGACAGACCAGAUAUGACGUGUGUUGAUGUACCAGUAACAUGCAACAUUCUUUGCUGUAUUUCACAAAUGGAUUGUUCAAUACAUUAAUAUAUGUAAAAUGUCUAUCUUGGUGAUUACGUUUGAAAUAACAACUAAUAAAACAACAUUUUCUCA